GACGAACGCUGGCGGCGUGCUUAACACAUGCAAGUCGAACGAAGUGGCGAACGGGUGAGUAAUACGUGGGUAACCUGCCCUCCUUUUUGGGAUAAGCCUUGGAAACGGGGUCUAAUACCGAAUAUAGGGGGUUGGGCUCGCGGCCUAUCAGCGAGUUGGUGAGGUAAUGGCUCACCAAGGGGACGAUCCCUAGCUGGUCUGAGAGGAGGAUCAGCCACAUUGGGACUGAGAAACGGCCCAGACUCCGACGGGAGGCAGCAGUGGGGAAUAUGGCACAAUGGGAGAAAGCCUGAUGCAGCCAUGCCGCGUGUAUGAAGAAGGCCCUAGGGUUGUAAAGUACGUUCGCUAUCGAACGGGUAGGUGGAGAAGAAGCGCCGGCUAACUACGUGCCAGCAGCCGCGGUAAUUC
rnacentral:rRNA from 1 species